UUUAGUAAGGUAUUAAACAACUUUGGGUAAAGAAUUUUAUGUUAAAAUGCGUAGGUUUAGUAACUUAAUCAUGUGUGUAGGUACAAUAUAAGCUUUAGGAAUGUAAAUACAAGAUAUAUUUUGAAGGUUAAUCUGACAUGAGAAUGCUUUUAAAGUUAAAUAACUAAGGAAUAGGAACUCGGCAAAUAUUAAGCUCGCCUGUUUAACAAAAACAUCGCCUUCAGGUAAAAUAUUGGAGGUCUGGUCUGCCCAGUGUAGUAAUUAACGGCCGCGGUAUCCUGACUGUGCAAAGGUAGCAUAAUCACUUGCCCUUUAAAUGGGGGAAUGUAUGAAUGAUUCGACGAGGUUUUGACUGUCUUUUCUUUAGUAAAUUGAGAUUACAUUAUCUGUGAAAAUGCGGAUAAUAAGUAAUGGACGAGAAGACCCUGUUGAGCUUUUAAGUUAAUUAAAGGUAUAAGUUAGCUUAAGUAAAUAUUUAUUAUCAAAAUAUGUAUUUUUUAUUAAUCUUUUUGGCUGGGGUGGCAAGCAAAGGAAUUGAGCUUUGCUAGAAUAGGAAUUUUGGUUCGGGAGAUGGUAUACAUCAAUGAAUUAAUUAAAUAGAUCCGCUAGUUAAGCGAUUAAUAGAAUAAGUUACCACAGGGAUAACAGCGUUAUUCCUUUUGAGAGCUCUAAUUGACAGAGGAGUUUGCGACCUCGAUGUUGGAUCAAGAUUCCUAGUGGUGUAGCAGCUAUUAUGGGUUUGCCUGUUCGGCGAUUAAAAUCUUACGUGAUCUGAGU
rnacentral:rRNA from 1 species